GGGACGGGCUCUCUCUACAGAGGCAAUAACGGAGAGGAGAGACUCUCAAGGGAGCCUUGGAUGGCUUUUGUCCCAUGGGCUCCCUGAGGGCCCCGGGGGUGGGGGUGAGAGGCUAGUUUUCAGUGGGGCUGCCUUUGCCAUCUCGGGGUUAUGGAAGGCAGGAAGAGGUUUAUGAUCUAGUCCAACGUGCUCAUUGUACAGGAGGAAAAACUGAGGCUGGGAGAGGAAGUUCUGUGCCCGCGCUCACAAAAGUAAAUGCCUGUGCCGGUCAUCCCCUUUCCUCCAGGCGCGGUCCCAUCUCUGGCCAGCCCCAGGCCUCCCCUCUGAGUCCCAUUUCAGGGGGAGACUCCAAAGAACCAAACCAGGGAAACAGCCCCUCUGCUUCGGAACCAAUCUGCCUGGAGCUCACAGGGGUGCACUUGUGCUCAAUAUCUUCAUUGGCCCGAGGACGGGUCUGACACACGCAUGCGUAGUUCCAUUCCUUUGCUAGCGGGUUGCCAGGGCAGCAAUUGUCUCCCGACUUUAAAAGGUUCCACUGCCGGGCCAUCACGGCUUAAGUGUCUGGCGACCGGAGCGAUGCAUCUAUUCGGAUCGAAAACACAGCCUGAGCCCUGGGCCCCUACUACCCCACGGAGGGACGUGGGGAUUAAUGGCGCAACAGCCCAAGAAGGCUAUAGGAUCCGCAAAAAUUUCCUGGGGAAGCUCCAUAGAGCUACCUCAUCCGGAGACUGUUGCAAACUGCAAUGGCUUUUCUUGGCCAAAGGGAAAGAUAUUAAUGAAGUGGACGAUCUCAACAGGUGUUACAGUGUCAGCAGGAGGAGUGUGCGAGCAUCCUGCUCCUCCAUGGGGCAGACCCCAGUGUGGUGGAUGACAACAACAGCUCUGCCCUUCACUAUACAGCCUCUGGUUACAACACUGCUAUAGAGGACAGGCUGCUAAAAAAGAAGGCAAGAGACAGGGUAAAAGAUUGUUACCAAUGAAGAAGAAGAUUAAGCAGUCAACAUUUCCACAUGCUAGAAAGAGCUUACCAGUAUUUCAAAAUAAAUACCUUUAAAAAUAUUCGUGAUUUCA
rnacentral:lncRNA from 1 species